rnacentral:lncRNA from 10 species
AAGGAAGCUGUGCUCCCACUGGUGCUAGGGAAGGCUGCUGCAGGGCUGGAGGCCUGGGUGCUGGACUGCUGGGGCAGGCUGCCUGCUGUACCCCCAAGCUGCAGUCAGGGCUCGCCCUGAGGCCCUGAGGUGGAGAGAGAGCAGCUGUCUCGUACACACCCAUGUGCACAAGUGCAGGCACACACACACACACACACACACACACAAAAGACGUUCUCACUUCAUCCCCGAAUUCUCCCUCCUACACACAAAGCUAGUUCCCAGUUCUCCAGUCCCCCUCCAUCCCUCUCCACUUCUGUAGUCUCUGCUGGGCUGCACUGGGGAUCUGGUCCCAAUUCCCCUCUCUUCCCUUGCUGCCCCUGUAACAAAGGGCUGGCCAUGUGACAUGAUCUCCUCAGGCUUCAGAGAAGUGAUUUUACCCUGAGCUACACAGGCAGGAAGACCACCAGCCUGGAAGGCAGGACGUACGAAUGAUGUUAUUUCUGGCAAGGAGGACACGGCUGCUGUGGUUGAUUGGCUGUGGAAUUCCAGGGGAGCAAGGCACUAGGAAGUGGGGAACGCUGCCAGGCCCAGCAGCUCAUCAGGAGCUUGCACUUGGCCCAGUUAGGGCUGGCCGUGGGACGGGCUUGUUGAAGCUGCUGCCGCCAUAAGCUGCCCCUCUGCACCAGGAGACAGAUCCCAUUACCCCACCUACAGCUGCUUCCUGGUACAAGAGAAGAGUUACCAUUUGAAAUGACUCCACAGGAGAGUCUGACAAACAUGUUUGCUUUUCACUGACAAUUAAAAUUGUUUUGCUGCUAAUCUUGUUUUAUUGUGGUCUUUCAUCCAUCAGCAAGCAUCCCUGCACGCAAGAUCAGAGUUGGGUAAAUACAUCCAGACCCUGCCAGGAUUAGGGCAAGAGGGAGUGCUCUGGGCCGGCAGAUCUUUUUCGGAAAUUCUCACUUCUUGGAGCACUAAAGGGUUGUUAGUCUAUCUGGGCAAGCCUCGUUUCCCUGGAGAAAAUGGAGUCUCAGAGAUUAGUGACUGGUCCUAGAGCUAAUGAGUGACCAAAGUGUGACCAGAGCCCAGGUCUGCUUCUCAACCCAGGGCACUUUGAUUCCAGAUUGAGAUGUAAGGUGACAGGUGCCUUAAUAGUGGCGCAAAAGAUGUGCAUUCCCCUCUUCCUCCCUCCCCGCUCCCUGCUCCCCCAGCGGCACCCUGACCUUCCUCAAAUGCAGAAUCAAGAUUUCAGCAGGGGGGCCAGCCCUUUCCCUGCCCCACCCUCCUCGAAUUCAGUGACUCAGGAGUGGGAAGGGGGUUAGCUAUGCCCUUAGAAGGGGGCCAGCUUCUGCAGAGGCCACUGGAAAACUCAUCAGGAUUCUCACUCACAAAGCCACUGCCACAUUCUAAGUAGGAAGUCGGAGUUGGAAAUGAGGCUGGUGUGAGACACAAUAAAUGGCUCAUCGCCAGGAAACUGGGGAGUAGGGCGGCCAAGGGAGGGCGGCGAGCGUGGAAUCCCAAGGCUAAGUCACGUCCCUCCCAUCCUCAGGACUGGGCUGUUGCUCUGGUGAGAUGAAUGAAGAUCCUGCUCCACGGCGUCACAGGUGGAUGCUUACAUAGAAUGCCGGGCUCUGGGGGACUUGACGUGGUUUCAGCCGCUGCAGCAUCGCCCCACAGAGAUUCUGUGCUCUUCCUGUUCACCAGCCCGCUGUCUGCCAUGGGGAUUGGUCACGUGUUAACCACCUUUCGUUCAAGCUGUUUCGGGAUCAGACUUUUCCUUCUCUGGUACAUGGGAGACCUUUCCUCUCUGCAGCUCCUGAAUGUACAAA